rnacentral:lncRNA from 10 species
ACUGUAGCAUUAAACCUUUUGUGUCACAUUGCUUUGCCACUCUGCUGACGAAGUCUUCAUCUUCACUCAGUGACAAGGCAAGCUGUCAUGGAAAGAGAAGCUUUAAAAUGGUACACACAAGUGCAUCACUUUUCUGGCCUUGUGACCUUGGGCAAGUUUCUAAUCCCUUUGAGCACCAGUUGUCUCAUCUGUAGAGUGCGAAUGAUCAUAAUCUUCAAUGGAUUCUUCCAGGGACUUAAAGAAGUAAUGCUUGCAAAGGAACUAGCACAAUGCCCAGCAUAUGGAAUUUGCCUAUGAAAAUACUUUUGUUCUCCAAUUUCCAGCCCUUCUUGUUGGGUUGUUUGCCAAGUCCUCCUGCUGAUACUGCACCCAUGGUAUUAGGAACAAGAGUGGACUUUCCCCUCCUCUUUAUAAAUUAUACAACAGAGAAAGGGGGAGGGGAAUGCAGUGAAAUAUUAACAGUUGAGGAACUGGAUGAGAGGAGCCUGGGAGAUCUUUGUACUUGCAAAUGUUCUGUUUAAGCUUGAA